rnacentral:rRNA from 1 species
GACGAACGCUGGCGGCGUGCCUAAUACAUGCAAGUUGAGCGCUGAAGGUUGGUACUUGUACCAACUGGAUGAGCAGCGAACGGGUGAGUAACGCGUGGGGAAUCUGCCUUUGAGCGGGGGACAACAUUUGGAAACGAAUGCUAAUACCGCAUAAAAACUUUAAACACAAGUUUUAAGUUUGAAAGAUGCAAUUACAUCACUCAAAGAUGAUCCCGCGUUGUAUUGGCUAGUUGGUGAGGUAAAGGCUCACCAAGGCGAUGAUACAUAGCCGACCUGAGAGGGUGAUCGGCCACAUUGGGACUGAGACACGGCCCAAACUCCUACGGGAGGCAGCAGUAGGGAAUCUUCGGCAAUGGACGAAAGUCUGACCGAGCAACGCCGCGUGAGUGAAGAAGGUUUUCGGAUCGUAAAACUCUGUUGGUAGAGAAGAACGUUGGUGAGAGUGGAAAGCUCAUCAAGUGACGGUAACUACCCAGAAAGGGACGGCUAACUACGUG